ACACCUGUUCCCAUGUCGAACACAGAAGUUAAGCUUCUUAGCGCCGAUGGUAGUUGGGGGUUUCCCCCUGUGAGAGUAGGACGUUGCCACGC
rnacentral:rRNA from 1 species